GUGGGGAAUCUUCCGCAAUGGACGAAAGUCUGACGGAGCAACGCCGCGUGAGCGAAGAAGGUUUUCGGAUCGUAAAGCUCUUUCGUUAGGGACGAACGUGCUCUUUGUGAAUAAUGAGGAGUAAUGACGGUACCUAAAUAAGAAGCCACGGCUAACUACGUGCCAGCAGCCGCGGUAAUACGUAGGUGGCAAGCGUUGUCCGGAAUUAUUGGGCGUAAAGCGCGCGCAGGCGGGAUAUCAAGUCUGUCUUAAAAGUGCGAGGCUCAACCUCGUGAGGGGACAGAAACUGGUAUUCUUGAGUGUCGGAGAGGAAAGUGGAAUUCCAAGUGUAGCGGUGAAAUGCGUAGAGAUUUGGAAGAACACCAGUGGCGAAGGCGACUUUCUGGACGAUGUCUGACGCUGAGGCGCGAAAGCUAGGGGAGCGAACGGGAUUAGAAACCCCGGUAGUCC
rnacentral:rRNA from 1 species